ncrna:unclassified sequences DTF3800-XI RNA
AGGGCUGGUCGAAAGACCCUGGUCCUUCACAGGCGGGAUUGUGUCCC